rnacentral:tRNA from 1 species
GCCACGUUGGUCUAGCGGUUAGAACGCUGGCCUUGUAAUCCUGGGGUCUCGGGUUCGAUUCCCGGCGGUGCCC